rfam:Candidatus Berkelbacteria bacterium RIFCSPLOWO2_01_FTLL_50_28 rifcsplowo2_01_scaffold_124, whole genome shotgun sequence.
GGGUCGGUAGUUCAGUGGUAGAACAACGGGCUCUUAACUCGUGUGUCGUGGGUUCGAUCCCCACCCGACCCA